rnacentral:lncRNA from 7 species
GGGUAUCUUGCUGGAGAUCCCUGCUUACGUGAGGCCUUCCAAAGGAAAGCUUUGUUGGUUUUUGUGUGUGUGUGUGUUGUUUUUUUUUUGUUGUUGUUGUUUUUGUUUGUUUGUUUGUUUGUUUUUCUCCUCCUUCCUUUCUGUGUCUACAGCUGCUGCAUUUGGGCUUGUUCUCAUUUGCUGUAGCCUAGGGUUGUGCUACUCCACUAUUAUGGCUGUACUUUCCAUCACAUUACAGCUUUUCAUCAGUCUACGUUGUGAAUGAAAAAGGCAGGACACCAUUCCUAACAUUCCUAAACCUCUUGAGGUACUGGGGGAUAUACAUGGUAGAGAUAUGCAUCUGAGAAGAUCACAGAUCAACCCCCUCCAUCUCAUUCUCCAUGUUUACAAGCUAAGUGCUCCUUAGAACACAGGGAAGCUAACAGUGGACUUACAGAUCUAAAAGAAAUCAUUAUUGACAUAGAAAUUGUGAAGUGUACAGCAGAAGGAAACAGGGUUGUACUCAGUAGCAACUCAUUUCUUCUGGAUUCCUAAUUUUGUGGUAGGAGGGCUGCUCUGAACGUAAUGCCUCCUAUUCAAUUAUGAUGGCUCACAACGUCAGAGGUAGCUGUUGUUGGUAUGGCAGCAGAUGAUGAACCUUCCCACCAGUAUUCCAUUAUGCUUUGUUGCUAUAUGACAGAUGACCACAUGACAUCUGAAUUUGAUACACAUAUGAAUCAAAGGUGUGUCAUUGCAUUUCUUACUGUGGGGGGAAGAAAAUGGCAUUCAUUGAUGCUCAUCAGUGCUAACUGGAAGUUUAUGGACACCAAACAGUGGACGUGAGCACAGUGGGAUGGUAUGUUUCAGCAGUCACGACAGUGGCAGGAAAGACAAUCCAUGUUCUGGACAGCCAUGUAGAUGUUCAUAGGGGUAGCAUGCAGGCUCUUGUUCAUCACUGCUGAAAAUGCACAGUUAAUGGUGCUGACUCUGAAAAAUGUUCUGUAGCUCAGAAUUUGCUAUAUCAAAUAGUGUUAUUGUGUUCUUUGUCUGUUGUAUUUUUCAUGGAAAUAAAUGAGAGGUAUUACUUCUG